CGUGUAGGCGGUCAGGUAAGUCAGAUGUGAAAGCCUUCUGCUUAACAGAAGAAGUGCAUUUGAAACUGCUUGGCUAGAGUACGGGAGAGGAGAGUGGAAUUCCCGGUGUAGAGGUGAAAUUCGUAGAUAUCGGGAGGAACACCAGUGGCGAAGGCGGCUCUCUGGUCCGAUACUGACGCUGAGACGCGAAAGCGUGGGGAGCAAACAGGAUUAGAUACCCUGGUAGUCCACGCCGUAAACGAUGGGCACUAGGUGUAGGAGGUAUUGACCCCUUCUGUGCCGAAGCUAACGCAUUAAGUGCCCCGCCUGGGGAGUACGGCCGCAAGGCUAAA
rnacentral:rRNA from 1 species